rnacentral:misc_RNA from 1 species
ACAAAUCCAAUACUUGCUGGCUCUCUUUUGGGGGUCUUGCAAAUAUUAAUCCGCUGGCCUCGCAAGGGGCUGGUUGAUAAUUGAUAACAUAAAUGUGUGUAGUGUUGACAGUGUGUGAUAUUUAAUUAAUUAUUGA